rnacentral:rRNA from 1 species
GCAGUCGAGCGCGAAUGGAGCAAUCCUAGUAGAGCGGCGCACGGGUGCGUAACACGUGGAUAAUCUGCCUGGGUGUCUGGGAUAACCAGUCGAAAGAUUGGCUAAUACCGGAUAAGCCCCCGGGAGCUUCGGCUCCUGAGGGAAAAGGUGGCCUCUGUAUACAAGCUAUCACAUCCAGAUGAGUCCGCGGCCCAUCAGCUAGUUGGCGGGGUAAUGGCCCACCAAGGCAACGACGGGUAGCUGGUCUGAGAGGACGAUCAGCCACACUGGAACUGAGACACGGUCCAGACUCCUACGGGAGGCAGCAGUGGGGAAUUUUGCGCAAUGGGCGAAAGCCUGACGCAGCAACGCCGCGUGUGUGAUGAAGGUCUUCGGAUUGUAAAGCACUUUCGACCGGGACGAAAACCCGUUGGCUAACAUCCAACGGCUUGACGGUACCGGGAGAAGAAGCACCGGCUAACUCUGUGCCAGCAGCCGCGGUAAUACAGAGGGUGCAAGCGUUGUUCGGAAUUAUUGGGCGUAAAGCGCGUGUAGGCGGCUUUGCAAGUCGGGUGUGAAAGCCCUCAGCUCAACUGAGGAAAGUGCGCCCGAAACUGCAGAGCUUGAGUGCCGGAGAGGGUGGCGGAAUUCCCCCAAGUAUAGGUGAAAUUCGUAGAUAUGGG